CUAAGCAUAUCAAUAAGCGGAGGAAAAGAAACCAACAGGGUUGCCCUAGUAACGGCGAGUGAAGCGGCAACAGCUCAAUUUGAAAUCUGGCUCUCUUUGGGGUCGAGUUGUAAUUUGCAGAGGAUGCUUUGGCAUUGGCGGCGGUCUAAGUUCCUUGGAACAGGACAUCGCAGAGGGUGAGAAUCCCGUACGUGGGCGCCUGCCUUUGCCGUGUAAAGCUCCUUCGACGAGUCGAGUUGUUUGGGAAUGCAGCUCUAAAUGGGAGGUAAAUUUCUUCUAAAGCUAAAUACCGGCCAGAGACCGAUAGCGCACAAGUAGAGUGAUCGAAAGAUGAAAAGUACUUUGGAAAGAGAGUCAAAAAGCACGUGAAAUUGUUGAAAGGGAAGCGCUUGCAGCCAGACUUGCCCGCAGUUGCUCACCUAGGCUUUGGCCUGGGGCACUCUUCUGCGGGCAGGCCAGCAUCAGUUUGGGCGGUUGGAUAAAGGCCUCUGUCACGUAUCUUCCUUCGGGAUGACCUUAUAGGGGAGGCGUAAUGCAACCAGCCCGGACUGAGGUCCGCGCAUCUGCUAGGAUGCUGGCGUAAUGGCUGUAAGCGGCCCGUCUUGAAACACGGACCAAGGAGUCUAACAUCUAUGCGAGUGUUUGGGUGUCAAGCCCGGGCGCGCAAUGAAAGUGAACGGAGGUGGGAACCCUUUGGGUGCACCAUCGACCGAUCCUGAUGUCUUCGGAUGGAUUUGAGUAAGAGCAUAGCUGUUGGGACCCGAAAGAUGGUGAACUAUGCUUGAAUAGGGUGAAGCCAGAGGAAACUCUGGUGGAGGCUCGCAGCGGUUCUGACGUGCAAAUCGAUCGUCAAAUUUGGGCAUAGGGGCGAAAGACUAAUCGAAYSAU
rnacentral:rRNA from 1 species